CCACACCUAAAAACUUUCCACGUGAACCGUUUAAAUUUGUUUCGUGCCGAGUGGAAACACAAGGCUGAACGAAGGUCGAGUGAGAGCUCUUCCGAUGUAUUUUUCAAACCCUUUACUUAAUACUGAACUAUACUCCGACGACGAAAGUCUUUGGUUUUAAUCCAUAA
rnacentral:misc_RNA from 1 species